AUCCUGGUACUUUCUGAAUCUACAGUCGCUCCAUUUAGAGCUUCAUAUGCCACUGUAUGACUCCCAUAGGAAUGAACGGCGUCCCUCCUCUAACGCUGUAUCCAGUUCUGCUUGGUUUCAUGGUUUACUGAGGCCUCAUGGCUAGUUACCGGAUGAUGAUAACAGCUAAUUUAAAGCUAGCAAGCCCCAUAAUUGAAAAGAAAUGCUGUCUCUCAUCACAGUAUGCUUACUGUAUGCCCCAGAUAAAAGAAGGAGAUCAGACAAUGGAUCCCUUGGAGGAGGACAGGUGGAUGGACUGGAUGCGGAUGGCCAGGGUCUUCUCCAGGUCCUGCAGGAUGUCAGAGCCGGGGCUAUCUGGAGGCGUGUCGUACAGCAGCUGUUUGAAUGGCUCCAACUCGAUCAGGAUUAACAUGUUCUUUAGGAAGUAGCCCUCUAUAUAGGAAGCCAAGUCUGGAGCACCAAGAAACUGUGAAGAAAGUAACAAAAGCUCCAUUUAGAGGACAUUUAUAACACUUUAAAGGGAUAUCCAGAUUUUGUUAAGUUAGGUUGUCUGACAUAUUUAUGUAAAGUCAGUGUAUUACCAGCACUCCCCUAGCACUUUACGUUGCAGAAACGCAGGGUUGCUGGUCUACUGCUGCCUAGACCGGUUAGUUUGUUUGUGUUAUUGUGGUUAGUUCAGACUCAACAAAGUUACAGAAUAACACAAUCUUACCGAUAAUGGCAGCAGCAGACCAGCAACCCCACGAUACUGCAAGGUAAAGUUAUUGUUUUUUGUCAAUGGAGUUUUGUGGCUGUUUUGGAGAGUCUAUACUAUAUAAAGAUUUAAAGGCUUCAGUUCCCUGUUGGAAAGAGUUGUCUCACAGCAGUGAACAUUUUCUAAAUAUAGCAUACACUUAAACUGAUAUUGAUUUGUUUUAGGUGGGACUUGCUGCUGCCUCUUCAGGAGCAGUUAUUUCCUUAACAUCUGCUGUAAUACACACACUAUAAAUGAGUACCUGAUACAACCCAACUUAGAACAUC